CAGCUCAAUUCAGAUUUUUUUGGGGGGUGCUGGAAAUCCAAAAGAGAGCAGCUGUAGGAAUUCACUAUUUUCGAGGGAUUAAAAAACAAAAAUACUGAAAACCAAAAAGAGCUGAAAAUUACUGUUGCAUUGAAAUUCUGAUUAGAACUCUUGAAACUUGUUUUCUUUUAUUGCUGAAGAACACCUGAUCCUACGUGAGGUUCAAAUGGUUUGAGUUUGGGUAAUGAGAGCCUUGCUUUGGGUUGGGGAAUUGAUUCUUCUCUUCUGGACUGAUUUCAUCGUUGGUUUUGUUGAAUCUGGGUGAAUUCCUGUUACUGCUGACUGCUGACUUUGCAUUUCCGCUGUCCUUCUUUUAUUUCCAGGUAUAUUCAUAGCCCAAAAGCACUGACUGAAUGCUGGUCAUGUAAAUCGAGUGAAAAUUCCAUGGAAUACAAGCUGUGUUUAAUCUAAUUUUCUCUGAUUUUUACUGUCUAAUACUAUGUAGUAUAUCUGUGAUAUUGGUUGAGCUGUCAUUGGUAUAGUAUAAAUUGGGAUUUGUGCUUGGAACUAAAGGUUCAAUUUCAAUAUUAAAGAGUGUGUUUGGAAUGUGUAUGAAUAGAUUUUGUAGGUGCUGUUCAGUAUAACAGGUAAAUCAUGGAUUUAAUUGCGCAGCUUCACGUUUGCUUUGUAUUCUGGGUCAUAGUUUGCUGAAAUGCAGCAGGUCUUAGUGUUUGGAAGGGAUAGAAUAUAGAUGCUGGGCUUAAUAUGAAUAUGGUCGAUUGAACACGGUUCUGUUGAUAAGUUUCGUUAAAGUUUUGAAAUCCUUACGUUCCAAAUCUGUUCUUGUUCGUAAAUUUGUCAUGUGUAUCUAUUCGUGUAAGUUGUAGCAUCUGAGUUGAUUAAUUGGUUAGAAAUGAAGGCUAAAAUUGGCUAUCCUUGUAAAAUGGCUAUUGCUGCAAUGUCCAAAGAGGAGUCGUUCCUGUGAGUUUAGUUCACUCUAGUUGGUCUUUUUUUUCCCAGAUUCCUCAUUACUCAUUAUUGAUAAUUUCUACUUAUUUGUUGUGUACAUGAGUGACCACUCAUUGUUCGUAGUGGCUUAAAAGAUUAGCAAAUUGCUACAAUUAAUUAUUUGAACUCACUAUAUCAUGAGUUUAAAAGUGACAUAAGUUUUAAAUUCAUUAUAAGUUAUAACGACAUACCUCACUAAAUUAUCCAAUAAAUCAUGGUUUCAUGUUUUUAUUAUAUACUAAUACCCCAUAAAUUUUUAUAAAUUGUUCUUCGAUUUUUUUUUCCUAUAAGCAGUAGUCUUUCUUUCUUGUGAUGAUGCAUGAACCAGUGUAAGGCUAUUAACGAAUUUUGCUGAUAGUGUGCUGGAAUUGGUACUAUUGUCUCGGAAUAUUGGACUGAGUUAAACAUAUAUCAUUGAGUUUAACAGGUUCUAUAGCCAACCCGUAUAGGAUAUGGCCUUUACAGUAACCUUAAAGUAUUCUAGAAAAAGAAUUCAUGAAUAUCCGUGGUCUGCUGCGGUUGAGUAAAACCUUUUGGAAUAAAUCGAGAUGUGCCAUUUAGCAAAUUUUCAUGGCCCUCGCAAAGUUAACAACACAUUAGUUGCUUUUAGGCACGUUAUUUAAUAAUUUUACCUUCUUAAACUUGGGUGCACAUUUCAUGUGACCCAAAUCCAAAUCCUAAAACGUUGUAUAAAAUGUGUUCCGGAUUGCGGGUGCAUUUCAUGUGGCGCGAUCUAAAGACAUGUUUUAAACGACGUUCAAUCUUUCCUUAAAAAUUGAAUAAAAGCGGUUGAAAGUUAAAAAUUGCACAUAGAUUCAUAAUUGUUUAAAUUGGAUAAUCAAGCCAAAUAUAACAGUUGAGCGACCGUGCUAGAACCACGGAAUUCGGGAAUGCCUAACACCUUCUCCCGGGUUAACAGAAUUCCUUACCCAGAUUUCUGGUUCGCGGACUGUUAAACAAAGUCAAUAUUUUCCUCGAUUCGGGAUUCAACCGGUGACUUGGGACACCAUAAAUCUCCCAAGUGGCGACUCUGAAUCUUUAAAAUAAAUCCCGUUUUGGUUGUCCUUUAAUUGGAAAAACUCCCUUUACUUGUACCCUCUUCCGGGGGUGUAAGGUAAAAAGGAGGUGUGAUACCUCUAAUAUGCGACCUCCAGUCGCACCGGUCAGGAACACCCCUCUCGUCAUAUCUGUCACACCGGUAUAUACAAUCCCGCCACCACCUCCUGUGACGAGGCCAAACAAUGAGUCACCAUCUCAUGCUUAUGAUGGCCAAUACUAUUCUCCAAAUAUGGCUUUCAGGGUCUCGGCUCCAUACAAUCAGACUCCUCAGUACGAGUCACCAGUGGAAAAUGAAAAGCCUGCCACGACGGUUGAGCCAGAUGAGAUGACCAAGAAAAUGAAAAGUCUUGAACAAAAUAUAAAGAACAUACAGGUACUAUGUGGUCACAAAAGUGUUUCAUUUAGUGAUUUAUGCAUGUUCCCUCACAUCCAUUUGCCACAAGGGUUCAAGACCCCAAAAUUCGAGAAAUAUGAUGGAUACAACGACCCUAUCGCCCACUUGAAAAGGCACUGCAACUAGCUGAGGGGUGCAGGAGGAAAAGAAGAGCCGUUGAUGGCUUAUUUUGGGGAAAGCCUUGUGGGGGUAGCUUCUGAAUAGUUCAUUGAUCAAGAUAUCUCUGUUUAGUAACCAGGGUACUUUUGACUUAGGCUUCAGGCCAACACAAGCAGACGAAAACAAAGCCAAAUACCACAAAAAGCAUGGAUGGGUGUUGCAAUAGUCUAUCCCUCACAUUUUCUACACUUUUGUCAAGCAACGACUCCAAGAGGGUCAAAAUUCCUCNNNNNNNNNNNNNNNNNNNNNNNNNACUAGUCGUGCCGAUAUGCAACUAAUUGACCCAAACACCAUGCUCAACAAAUAAGAAGCAACUCCUCUCCCCACAAGGAAGGAGUCUUGGUAAUUUGCUUUGCAGCUUCUUUUUGUAUUUUGGGUUACUUUCAGGAUUGUAAUCCAAACAUCUCAGUAUAAUUGUUUUGUUUUGAUGUUAACCCUUCUAUCCUUUCGAAUUCAAUGAAAUGCAGUUCAGUUUCCUAUUAAGUUUUUUAUCUUUUCCUUUUCCUAAUUCCUGUCAUUUUAUUUCCAUUUCAGUUUUGUUAUUGCCGGCUUUAAUAACAUGACAUGCAUGCAAAAUUCAUGCCCAGAUCUUAAAAAGCUGUCUAAUAUCGAAAUAAUACAUCAAGAGGUUGAAUAUGAUGAAGAUGAGGUUGUUGAGGAAAUAAAAAGAGAGUCGGAACAAUUUGAAAACAAGCCUAAGCCCAACCUCAAUGAAACUGAGCUGAUUAAUAUCGAAAGUCAUGAAGAAGUUAGGGAAACGAAGAUAAGCAUUCACACUGAACAAAAAACCAGAGAUGCCUUGAUUCAACUUUUAUUUGAAUACAAAGAUGUGUUUUCUUGGUCUUACGAUGAUAUGCCGGGUUUAAGUGCUGAUCUAGUGGUUCAUAAGCUUCCUACGUAUCCUGAUUUUCCACCAGUCCAGCAAAAGCAACAAAAAUUUAAAACAGACAUGAGUGACAAAAUCAAAGAGGAAAUAAUGAAGCAAUUGAGCGCCAAUGUGGUCAGAGGUGUCCAAUACACCACCUGGGUGGCAAAUGUUGUGCCUGUGUCAAAGAAUAAUGGAAAAACCAGAGUCUGUGUUGACUAUAAGGACCCGAACAAAGCAAGUCCAAAGGAUAAUUUUCCUUUGCCAAAUAUCCACAUUCUUGUAGAUAAUUGCGCAAAGCAUGAGAUACAAUCGUUCGUGGAUUGCUACGCUGGGUACCACCAAAUUCUAAUGGAUGAGGAUGAUGCAGAAAAGACCACUUUCACCACUCCAUGGGGUACUUAUUGUUAUAGGGUCAUGCCAUUUGGUUUAAAGAAUGCAGGGGCAACUUAUAUGAGGGCCAUGACCACCAUUUUUCACGACAUGAUGCACAAAGAGAUUGAAGUAUAUAUUGAUGAUGUCAUCAUAAAAUCAAAGACACAAGCUGAUCACAUGUGCGAUUUGAAAAAGUUCUUCGAACGGCUUCGAAGGUAUGACCUUAAGCUUAAUCUAGCCAAGUAUGCAUUUGCGGUUCCAUCUGGGAAACUCCUCGGUUUUAUAGUUAGCUGGAUAGGCAUCGAAUUGGAUCCAGCUAAGAUAAAGUCCAUUCGAAAUCUGCCACCCCCCAAGAACAAAAGGAAGUCAUGAGUUUGCUUGAGGGGUUGAACUACAUCGUAGGUUCAUUGCUCAGCUCACAACCACGUGCGAGCCCAUCUUUAAGUUACUGAAAAAGGAUGUCGCUAUCAAGUGGAUGGGCGAUUGCCAAAAAUCUUUUGACAGGAUCAAAGAUUAUCUAUCAAAACCCCCUGUACUGGUCCCGCCUGAACAUAGUAGGCCUUUGUUUUUAUAUUUAUCGGUGAUGGAUAAUUCCUUUGGAUGCGUUCUGGGGCAACAUGAUGCAACCGGCAAAAAGAAACAUGCAAUCUAUUAUUUGAGCAAGAAGUUCAUCAAUUAUGAGGUUAAGUACACCCUCUAAGAAAGGACAUGUUAUGCCUUGACUUGGGUCGCUCAGAAGCUGAGAUAUUAUCUUUUAGCCUAUACUACUUACCUCAUAUCCAGAAUGGAUCCUUUGAAGUACAUCUUCCAAAAGCCAAUGCCCACUGGCAGGCUUGCAAAAUGGCAAAUACUUCUCAUAGAGUUCGACAUCGUCAAUGUCACUCGCACUGCGAUGAAAGCACAAGCUUUGACAGAUCAUUUGGCAGAGAAUCCAGUUGAUGAUGAGUACAUGCCACUUAGUACAUACUUCCCAGACGAAGAGGUCAACUCAAUAGAGGAAGUAGUUCCAGACGAUCACCCUGUAUGGAAAAUGUAUUUUGAUGGGGCUGUCAAUAUCAAAGGAGUUGGGAUCGGGACAAUCCUCAUCUCACCUAUUGGACAUCAUUACCCUGCAACGAGCUGACUUCAGUUCUUAUGUACCAAUAAUACAGCAGAAUAUGAAGCUUGUAUCAUGGGCCUGAAAAUGGCCAUCGAUCUGGAUGUGCAUGAACUAUUGGUUAUGGGAGAUUCCGACUUGCUUAUCCGGCAAGCCCAGGGCGAAUGGGAGACUCGAGACAUCAAGCUUAUUCCAUACACCCCGAUUCUGCUCUAUGAUUAAAAUAAUUUGAUAAUUUAGUCGCUUUCUUCAUUAACUAAUUUAAAUGCUAGGCAAUUAGUAGGCGCGCUUUAACUCACGGAAUCGCUUGCGUAGUGUAAUGUUUAACAUUCAAUCAAUUAAUUCAAUAGUCUCAUAUCAUACCCACUAAAUUUAAUUAAUUUUUAACUUAGUUAAUCCUUUGUUAAAACUCGCGGAUUCGCUUGCGUAGCGCGAUAGUUGACUUUCAAUUAUUAAUUUUCUCUAAUGUAGUAAUUCUCAAAAGUACCACAAAUAAAUUGUUUGCCAUAAAUUCGGAUUCGCUUGUGAGGCGCAAUUACGACAAGUUAAUUAAUUUUGAUUUCGAUCACGCAUUCACUUGCGUAACAUGGUUAUGACAGUGUAAUAUUAUUCAAAUUAUUUUUUUAUUCUAAUAAUUAAGAAAUAAAAGCGGAUAGAUAAAACAUGAAAAUCAUGUAAAUCACAGUUUGUCCAUAAUUAAUUAAAGCCAAGUUUAAGCCAAUAAAGUGACCGUGCUAGAACCACGAGACUCGGGAAGUGCCUUACACAUUCUCCCCGGUCAAUAAAAUUCCUUACCCGAACAUUAUUUUUGUGUACCAAUAAAAUAGAGUCAAACCUUCCUUUGACUAGGGAUUCAAAUAAAUGGUGACUUGGAACACCGAAAAAUUAAUUCCAAGUGGUGACUCUGUAAAUAAAAUAAUCCUUACUCAAAUUUGCCACUUCAAUUGAAAAAACUCUUUAACCCACAAAUCCUUAUACAUAUUUUUUGAGGGGUAAAAAGGGGUGUGACAGGUAUGAAUAUGAAACGGAGGAAAAAAUAAUGGAGGGAAAUAAACUUUUAAAUUGGUUACUUUUUACAAAGAAACCUUGUCUCUCGUUGAAUAAAAAGAGGAAAAAUAUUAUGCUUAACUAUAGAAGCACUUCUUUUAGCUCUUAAAAAGUUGAGAAGAGGGCAAGCUUGUGCCGCACGGCUUUGGCUUUAGAUUUAGAUCUGGCAAAAUGAUUAAUUAAUAUAUUCUUUGGAUCAAAAUUAUAUUUUUUUUUUAUUUUUUUAUUUUUGAUAAUUUUUGUGCGAUAUUUUUUAUUUAAAUUUCGCGGUCAUAAAAAUAUUCUUUCCAAAUGGUCCUAAACAAAAAAUUUAAAAAAUAAUUUCCGAAUAGAUACUGCCUAUUAUUUUCGAAGAUGUACUUUUACACCUGUUGAUUUUUUGUAACGACUUUUGAGUUUCAACUAUAAAAAAUGAAAAAUGAUGGAAAAACAAUUAGAAGCGAGAGCAUACACUAGACGAUGUUAACUUAUUAUCAUUAAAAAAUAAAUUAUGCUAGUAAUAUAUAUUAGUUAAAUGAUGAAAUGAUAACCUUAUGCGAAUGACAAGUCUCAUGCAGUUUUGCUUUAAUUGGUGCAUACACAAAAUGCAAAUAAGUUUUUGCUGCAUUGUAACAAUUGAAUUUAUUAUCAUUCCUUGUCAAUUAUUUAAACUAUGAAAAAUUAGGCAUUAAAAGCAUUGCAUUUUCCAAUCAUUCUAAAUUUCUAUUGUAAUAAUUGUAUAACUAGAAAAAACCAGUGCGAGGGCGUUGUCUAGCUACUUCUAUCUUCUGGAAUUUCAUAACUCUUUUGCAAUUAGCUUAGAAGGAACGUAACAUAUUAAAGCCUUUAGGUAAUCAAUUACACUACUUAUAUAUAUAUGGACAAUUCAUAAGUAAGUACUUAAUUUGACUGACUACGAAUUUAAAAACGAAAGACAUUUAAAAUUUGUAAUCUAAAUUAAGUCAUAGACAUUUGUAAUUGUAUAAAUACUAGUAUUUAUGAACGUGCGUUGCAUGUUAUAAUGGCACGUGCUGAUUUAGUGUGAUGACCCGAUAGGUCAUCUUAUGUGCUAGAACCUAAAUCUGCGCUUUGAAGUCUUAAAUACUUUAUUUUAGCUCUUUCUCGAUUUGCGCGUGCAAUCCGGGCAUGUUUCCGAAAAGCUUUUAUGUUAGAAAUUGAGAAAUAUGAAAUUUAUGCCUUAAAAUCUAUUUGAGUUGACUUCGGUCAACGUUUUGAGCAAACAGACCAGGAUUUGUAUUUUGACGGUCCUUGUGGGUCGUAUCAUGAUUUGGGACUUGGGCGUAUGCCCGAAAUUAAAUUUGGAAGUCCGUAAUUCGAGUUAUCGAACUUUGUUGAAAUUUGAAAGUUAAAGGCUUAAUGAAUUUGAGAUGUUUGACCAAUGGUUGACUUUUUGUAUAUCAGGUCCGUAUUUUGGUUCUAGAAUCUGAUAUAGGUCCAAUACCAUAAUUAUGACUUGCAUUUCGAAUUUGAUGAGAAACGGAGUUGGUUUGACGUGAUUCGGACGUCCAGUUGUGAAAAUAGAAGUUUCAAAGUUUUCUUGAAAAUUGCGUUUAAUUUGGUGUUCAAUUCAGUGUUCUAGGAGUUAUUUUAGCGAUUUAAUCGCGCGAGCAAGUUUGCAUGACGUUUUUAGACUUAUGUGCAUCUUUGGUUUAGAGCCCGAGGGCUCGGGUGAGUUUCGGAUAGGUUACGGAGUGAAAUUUGGACAUAGAACAUUGCUGGUGUGUUUUAGGUCUGGUGCGGGCCUCAGACCUCGCAAUUGCGAGGUUAGGCUUCGCAUUUGCGACCUCUGAUAGGUUCGCAUUUGCGAGCAACUCAUCACAAUUACGAAGAGUAGAUGGGGCACCAUAUGUUCACAUUUGCGAAUAAUUCUUCGCAUUCGCGAAGUGGGACAGGGGAGGCAGUGAUCGCAAGUGCGAUCAAAUGGUCGCAUUUUCGGAGAUCAUGGUUCGCAUUUGUGAACAAUUCUUCGCAUUUGCGAAGAAAGCAGAGAUGGGAAUUCGCAUUUGUGAUGGUUUCUUCGCAUUUGCAGGGUUCGCAUUUGCAACCCUAGUUCGCAAAUGCGACAUCUACAACUGAUCAUAUAUGAGUUAGACGGGAUUUUUGGUUCAUUCUUCAAAUUUUAAAACUUAGAAACCCUAGAGGCGAUUUUUCAAAGAACGUUUCUUCCCCAAACCAUUGGUAAGUUAUUCUAAAUUAGUUUCUUUUAAUCUUUCACUACAUUUUCUAAGAUUUCAACGAAAAAUCUUGUGUUUUCAUGGUAGAAAUUGGGGGUUUGGGUAGAAAUAGGGAUUUUUGUAAAAUAGGGAUUUAGACCUCAAAUUGAGGUCGGAUUCCAAAACAAAUUACAUAACCGGGCUCAGGAUGAAUGGAUAAUUGGUUUUUGGUCCGAAUUCCGAGUUUGGACCAAGCGAGCCCGGGUGUUGACUUUUGUUGACUUUUUCAAUAAUGACCUAAAUUGAAUUCUUUGCAAUCGUGGGUAGUUCCUGAGGCUUAAUUUGAAUCGUUUGAUUGGUAAUUCGCUAGAUUUUAUUGGUUCGGAGGCUUGUUUGAAAGGCAAAGCUGUGGUUGAGCUUUGAGUUUGGUCUUUGGUGCGAGUUAAGUGUCGUGGUCAACCUUGACUAGAGGUAUUAGGGCUUAUUUGUCUAUUUGCUACGUGUUUAGAUGUUGGGUACAAUAUAUAUGUGAGGUGACAAGUACUUAUGCGUUGUUGUCGGGUUAUAGCAUGCGAGUGGAACUUGUUCUUUGCAAAUGUUGUUUUCCUUGAUCAUGUUAGCCAUGCUUAGACUAGAUAAUUGUUAAAUUGAUCAUUCUUAUCAUGUUUAUGAGCUUUGGUGAUAAUUGAUUAUUGAUUCCGAGUUGAGAUUAGUAUUGUGGAACCGUUGUUGAAGUAAGGAUUAUACUUAUUGAUCCUAUCUUCCCAUUUUUACGUGUUCAUUGUUAUGUGGUAAGGGAGAGUGUUAAUGCACGAAGGGUGAUGCCGUGCCGUAUGUGUGUGUUAAUAUACGAAGGGCGGUGCCGUGCCAUAUUGUGAGCGUUAAUGCACGAAGAGUGAUGCUGUGCCAUAUUAUGAGAGUUAAUGCACGAAGGGUGAUGCCAUGCCAUUUCUAUUGAUUUAUACUGUGAGUGAGAGUAAAAGCACGAAGGGUGAUACCGUGUAGUAUCAUUGUUUCAUUGUGAGGUUGAGAGUAAAAGCACGAAGGGUGAUGCCGUGCAAUUUUCUUCAUUAUGCUUAAUUGUUUUUACUGGUUAAAGGUGUAUUGACUGUUCUGGUUAUCAUUCCGCUGUAGUGACGAGAGAUACUGCGUAUCUGGUAAGUGCGAGCCUAAUCUCGACAGGUAAUGAUGAGGCUACGGCGGGGCAAUUACAAUAUAGCCUGCAUACAAUGUAUUAUAAAAGCAGAAAGAAGAACAGAACAAAAUAAAGCAGUAGCUUGCAAGGAAUGAAUACAGAACUCAAGUAUCUUAUCAGUAGCCAUUUAUAUCGAAUCCUUAAGUGAAAUGUAAAACUACAAAAAACUUAUACAGUAGAAGAAAGAUACAUAAACACAUAAACUGAUACGGCGCGCAUCCCGAUCCCACCAUAUAAUCAAUAUCAAUAUGAAUAUUCACCCUUAUUACUCCAUAUCAAUCCACCCUUAUUCCUCCUGUUGCAGGCGUGUAACCCGAUCCCACCGUAUAAUAGCAAUUCACCCUUAUUCUUCUUUAAUAUUUCACCCUUAUUCUUCCUGUUGCAGCAUGCAACCCGAUCCCACCAUAUCAAUAUCAAUUACUCAAUAAGAAUAGAAAUUUCACAAUUUAACUCAAAUCUCUCCCCAAUAUUUAAACUUCAAACCAAAGCAAACAGAAAGCUUGUACAUUAUGAAACUUCACACAAAUAAUACUACUCAGCGAAAACAAUCCAAUACAUAUAAUAAAACAUUAAUAAACCAGCUUAAGUCAAUAAUAUGAGACAAUGAAACUACGAGAUAUCUAACACCUUCAAUAUCGAAAAACAAUAUCUGACAAGUAGCAAUUAAACAUGGAAUUACUAGUAAAGCAUGUAACAGUUAAGGCAGGGAAGACAAUAUAAUAAGAACGGAAAGAAAACAAGCAAUACAAAUAAAUUGGCGGCGCAUAGAUACUCGUCACCUCACCUAUACGUCACUCACAUGGAUUUUUCACAUAGCAAUUAAGUCAAGAGUUUCUAAUCCCUCGAGUCAAAGUUAGACACGUCACUUACCUCGAUCCACAUGCCACCCACUGCUCAAUAACCGCUUUUCCUCUAGAUUCCACCUCCAAUCCACUCGUAUUUAGCCAUAAUUAACUUAAUAACAUCAAAUAUUGCUAAAGGAAUCCAUUUCAAUACAUAAAUUUAGGUUUCACAACAUUUUCCCCAAAAAGUCAAAAACCGAACCCGGACCCGCUUGGUCAAAACUUGAGGUUCAGACCAAAAUCUAUUCACCCAUUCACCCUCGAGCCCAAAUAUGUAAUUAGCUCCGGAAUCCGACCCCAAAUCGAGGUCUAAAUUUUCAAUUUGCAAAAACCCCCAAUUCUUUCAAAAACCCCUAAUUCUACCAUGAAAGUGCAAGAUUUAAGACUAGAAAUCUAAUGGGUGAUGAUGCAAAUCAAAGGAAAUGAGUCAAAGAGUACAAACCUAUAAUUUAGUGUUGAAUUCCCCCUCCAAAAAUUGCCCUAGGCCGAGUUCUAGUGAAAGAGAUAUGAAAUUGUGAAGAAAUUCCUAUUUUUGGUCUGUUUUAAAAUCACUGGACAUGCCUUCUUCGUAUUCGUGAGGGGCCUAUCGCGAUCAUGAUACACAGCGACCAAAGGACUACACGUUAGCGAGUCUCUCUAUGCAUUCGUGAAAGGCUGCUCCACCAUGGCCUUCGCGACCCAAUGGUCGCAUUCGCGUAGAAGAACACUGAUCCCUGCCCCAGGCCCCUAAGCCAUCACGUUCGCGUCGAGCUGGUCGCGUUCGCGGAGGGUAAGACCCCCAUUGCUCCGCGUUCGCGACCAAGUCUCCGUGUUCGCGAAUGGAAAAUUCCUCCCCAGCCCCGUUUCCCCUUCGUGAUCGCGUGACUGGCUUCGCGAUCGCGAAGCACAAGGUAUCAGUACACCAGAAGCAACAACAUAUACCAGAUUUUCUAAAUUUCAAACUACCCGUAGCCCAUCUGAAACUCACCCGAACCCUCGAGGCUCCAAACCAAACAUGCACACAAGUCUUAAAACAUCAUACGAACUUGCUCGUGCGAUCAAAUCGCCAAAAUAACACGUAGAACUACGAAUUUAGCACCAAAUUACAUGAAAUUCUCAAGAACACUUUGAAAUUCCUAUUUUCACAACUGGACGUCCGAAUCACGUCAAAUCAGUUCCGUUUCCCAUCAAAUUUCAUAGAUAAGGCAUAAAUAUUAUUUUGGACCUGUACCGGCUCUAGAACCAAAAUGUGGCCCGAUACCAACAAGAUCAAACAUUAACCAAAUUCUUAAAGCCAUUUGAUAUUUUCAGUCUAUCAAUUUUCAUCAAAAAUUCAUUUCUCGGGGUAAGGACCUUGGAAUUCGAUUCCGGGCAUACGCCCAGGCCCCAUAUUUUGUUCCCACCGGGACUGUCAAAACACCAGUCCGCGUACGUUUACUCGAAACGUUGACCGAAGUCAACUAAAUUAACUUUUAAAGGCAAAAAUUAUUAUUUUUAUUAACUUUCAACAUAAAAGCUUUUCGAAAACACACCGGACUACGCACGCAAAUCGAGGAAGGAUAAAAUGAGGUUUUGAAGGUCUCGAAACACGGAAUCGAGUUCCAAAAUAUAAGAUGACCUUUUGGGUCAUCACAUUCUCUACCUCUAAAACAACCGUUCUUCCUCGAACGGACAUAGAAAAGUACCCGAGCUGGUGAAAAGGUGGUGAUAUCUGCUCCGCAUAUUGGACUCGGACUCCUAGGUANNNNNNNNNNNNNNNNNNNNNNNNNNNNNNNNNNNNNNNNNNNNNNNNNNNNNNNNNNNNNNNNNNNNNNNNNNNNNNNNNNNNNNNNNNNNNNNNNNNNNNNNNNNNNNNNNNNNNNNNNNNNNNNNNNNNNNNNNNNNNNNNNNNNNNNNNNNNNNNNNNNNNNNNNNNNNNNNNNNNNNNNNNNNNNNNNNNNNNNNNNNNNNNNNNNNNNNNNNNNNNNNNNNNNNNNNNNNNNNNNNNNNNNNNNNNNNNNNNNNNNNNNNNNNNNNNNNNNNNNNNNNNNNNNNNNNNNNNNNNNNNNNNNNNNNNNNNNNNNNNNNNNNNNNNNNNNNNNNNNNNNNNNNNNNNNNNNNNNNNNNNNNNNNNNNNNNNNNNNNNNNNNNNNNNNNNNNNNNNNNNNNNNNNNNNNNNNNNNNNNNNNNNNNNNNNNNNNNNNNNNNNNNNNNNNNNNNNNNNNNNNNNNNNNNNNNNNNNNNNNNNNNNNNNNNNNNNNNNNNNNNNNNNNNNNNNNNNNNNNNNNNNNNNNNNNNNNNNNNNNNNNNNNNNNNNNNNNNNNNNNNNNNNNNNNNNNNNNNNNNNNNNNNNNNNNNNNNNNNNNNNNNNNNNNNNNNNNNNNNNNNNNNNNNNNNNNNNNNNNNNNNNNNNNNNNNNNNNNNNNNNNNNNNNNNNNNNNNNNNNNNNNNNNNNNNNNNNNNNNNNNNNNNNNNNNNNNNNNNNNNNNNNNNNNNNNNNNNNNNNNNNNNNNNNNNNNNNNNNNNNNNNNNNNNNNNNNNNNNNNNNNNNNNNNNNNNNNNNNNNNNNNNNNNNNNNNNNNNNNNNNNNNNNNNNNNNNNNNNNNNNNNNNNNNNNNNNNNNNNNNNNNNNNNNNNNNNNNNNNNNNNNNNNNNNNNNNNNNNNNNNNNNNNNNNNNNNNNNNNNNNNNNNNNNNNNNNNNNNNNNNNNNNNNNNNNNNNNNNNNNNNNNNNNNNNNNNNNNNNNNNNNNNNAGCAUGAACACAUGAAACAGUGGAUGUACCGCUGAUAAACCUUGUGGCAAUGCAAGUCUGCAGGCCACCUAUCCCACUCGCUCAGGGAUCUCAUAAGGCCCGAUAUACCUAGGGCUUAACUUGCCCUUCUUCCUAAACCUCAUUACGCCCUUCAUGGUGAUACCUGAAGAAACACUCUCUCUCCGACCAUGAAUGCCAUAUCAUGGACCUUAUGGUCGACAUAACUCUUCUACCUGGACUGAGCUAUACGAAAUCUAUCCUGAAUGAUCUUGAUUUUAUCCAAGGCAUCCUUUACCAAAUCUGUACCCAAUAGCUGAGCCUCCCCUGGCUCAAACCAUCCAACCGGAGAUCGACCCCGUCUCCCAUAUAACACCUCAUAGGGAGCCAUCUGGAUGCUCGACUGAUAACUAUUGUUGUAGGCAAACUCUGCUAACGGCAAGCACUGAUCCCAAGAAUUUCCAAAGUCAAUAACAUAGACAUGGAGCAUAUCCUCCAAGAUCUGAAUAGUAUGCUCGAACUGUCCGUCCGUAUGAGGAUGAAAUGCUAUGCUCAACACGACCCGCGUACCCAGAUCACGCUGUACUGCCCUCCAGAAAUGCGAGGUAAACUGCGUACCUCGAUCAGAGAUGAUAGGAACGGGCACACCAUGAUGAUGAACAAUCUCAUGGAUAUAAAUAUCUGCUAACCGCUCUGAAGAAUAGGAAACUGCCACAUGAAUGAAAUGCAUUAACUUGGUCAGUCUAUCCACAAUAACCCAAACUACAUCGAACUUCCUCUGAGUCCGUGGGAGUCCAACAACGAAAUCUAUAGUGAUACGCUUCUGCUUCCACUUAGGAAUCUCUAUCUUCUGAAGCAACCCACCAGGUCUCUAAUGCUCAUACUUUACUUGUUGACAAUUUAGACACCGAGCUACAUAUGCAACUAUAUCCUUCUUCAUCCUCCUCCACCAAUAAUUCUGCCGCAAGUCCUGAUACAUUUUAGUGGUGCACGGAUGAAUAGAAUACCGGGAAAUAUGGGCCUCCUCUAGAAUCAACUCACGAAGUCCAUCCAUAUUAGGUACACAAACACGACCCUGCAUCCUCAACACUCCAUCAUCUCCAACCGUAACCUGCUUGGCAUCACCGUGCCGCACUGUGUACCUAAGGACAACCAAAUAAGGGUUAUCAUACUGCCGCUCCCUGUUACACUCAAACAAGGAAGACCGAGCGACUGUAAAAAAGCUUAAACACGACUGGGCUCAGAAACAUCCAACCUCACGAACUGAUUAGUUAAGGCCUGAACAUCUAAUGCAAGCGGUCUCUCACUGACUGGAAUAUAUGCAAGGUUGCCCAUACUAGUUGACUUCCUACUUAAAGCAUCGACCACCGCAUUGACUUUCCCGGGAUGAUACAAGAUGGUGAUGUCAUAGUCUUUCAAUAGCUUUAACCACCUCCUCUGCCUCAAAUUGAGCUCCUUUUGUUUGAACAAAUACUUCAAACUCUUAUGAUCCGUGAACACCUCACACGACAUGCCAUAUAGGUAGUGCCUCCAAAUCUUCAGCGCGUGAAAAAUGGCUGCUAGCUCCAAGUCAUGAAUUGGAUAAUUCUUCUUGUGAACCUUUAGUUGUCGUGAAGCAUAUGUAAUAACCUUUCCACCCUGCAUCAAUACCAUACCAAGUCCAAUACGAGAUGCAUCACAAUAUACUAUAUAGGUCCCUGAACCUGUGGGCAAUACCAACACCGGUGCCGUAGUCAAAUCUAUCUUGAGCUUCUGAAAGCUCGCCUCACACUCGUCUGACCAUCUGAAUGGGCAUCCUUCUGGGUAAACUUGGUCAAUAGGGCUGCUAUAGAUGAAAACUCCUUCACAAACCGACGGUAAUAACCCGCCAAACCCAAGAAACUACAGAUCUCCGUGGCUGAAGUAGGUCUAGGCCAAUUUUGAAUGGCCUCAAUAUUCUUAGGAUCCACUUGAAUACCCUCUGCUGAUACAACGUGACCCAAGAAAGCAACCUAACUCAACCAAAACUUGUUUUUCAAAAAGUUAGCAUAUAAUUGACUAUCUCUCAGAGUCUGAAGUACGAUCCGAAGAUGCUGCUCGUGCUCCUCUCGGCUGCAGGAGUAGAUCAGGAUAUCAUCAAUAAACAGAAUCACAAAGGAAUCCAGGUAAGGCUUAAACACCCGGCUUAUCAAAUCCAUAAAUGCUACUGGGGAAUUUGUCAACCCGAAUGAGAAGCUCACAAUGCCCAUACCGAGUCCGAAAAGCUGUCUUAUGUACAUUGGAUGCCCUAAUCAUCAACUGAUGGUAGCCAGACCUCAAAUCGAUCUUUGAAAACACAUUGGCACCCUGAAGCUGAUCAAAUAUGUCAUCAAUCCCCGACAAUGGAUACUUGUUCUUGAUAGUGACUUUGUUCAACUGUCGAUAAUCUAUUUACAUCCUCAUCGAUCCAUCCUUCUUCUUUACAAACAAUAUGGACGCACCCCAAGGCGAGACACUGGGUCUAAUAAAGUCCUUAUCAAGCAAAUCUUGUAACUGCUCCUUCAACUCUUUCAACUCUAGCGGUGCCAUGCAGUAAGGCGGAAUAGAAAUAAGCUGAGUGCCCAGAACCAAAUCAAUACAGAAAUCAAUAUCCCUAUCAGGUGGCAUCCCCAGCAGGUCUGCAGAAAAUACCUCUGGAAACUCUCGAACAACUGGUACUGAAUCCAUGGAAGGAACCUAUGCACUAGAAUCAAGAACAUAAGCCAAGUAAGCCAAACAUCGCUUCUCGACCAUAUGCCGAGCCUUCAUAUAAGAGAUAACCCUACUGGUAGAAUGACCAGGAGUCUCUCUCCACUCUAAUCAAGGUAACCCCGACAAGGAUAAAGUCACUGUCUUGGCAUGACAGUCCAAUAUAGCAUGAUAAUGUGACAACCAAUCCAUCCCCAAAAUGACAUCGAAAUCGACGAUAUCAAGAAGUAGGAGAUCUUCACGAGUCUCAAGACCCCCAAUAAUAACCACACACGAACAAUAGAAAUGAUUUAAUAUAAUAGAAUCCCCCACCGGUGUGGACACAUACAUGGGAGCACUCAAAGAAUCACGAGGCCCAACCAAAUAUGACGUAAAGUAAGAUGACACAUAGGAGUAUGUAGACCCUGGAUCAAAUAGAACUGAAGCAUCUCUACUGCAAACUGAAAUAGUACCUGUGAUAACAACAUCAGAUGACUCAGCCUCAAGCCUAGAUGGGAAAGCAUAACAUCGGGGCUGGGUCCUACCACUCCGAACCAUAUCUUUGGGAUGACCUCCUAUUGGCUGGCCUCCACCUCUAACGGCCUGACCUCCACCUCUAGCGGCCUGACCUCUACCUCUGGCUCAUUGACCCCUACCUCUAGCUUGCUGAACAGGUAGUAUAGCAACUGGUGCCAGAACCAUGGCACGAGAACCUUGAUACUAUGACUGAACACCCAAUAAUCUCGGACAGGUCCUUCAAAUUUGACCAUACUCACCACACUCGAAACAUCCAUCCUAAUACUGCGGCUGUGGAAACUGAGACUAACCCUAGCGAGCCAACUGACCGUGAUAAUAACUCUGGAGAGGAGGUGCUCUAAUAGGAGCUGGUGGUGCACUAUAAACUGGCUGCCUUGAAGAAGGUACAUAAGGACCACGACUUCCUAAAGCUCCAUGGGAUGUCUGAAGUGCUGAAUGAAACGGCCUGGGAGGAUGGACCCUACCAAAAGUACCCUGACCUCCAGAUGAGGCCCCACUGAAUCCACCAGAGUGAUGCAGCCUCUUGUAAGACCCCUGACCACUCCCCUGAGCUAGAACAAUAUUAACUCGUCUACCAACAUUGGAUGCAUUAUGGAAAGAAAUCUCACUCCCAGUCUCUUUAGCAAUUUGCAAUCUAAUAGGCUAAGCAAGUCCCUCAAUAAACCUCUUCACCCUCUCUCUCUCUCUCUCGGUAGGAAGUAUAAGAAGAGCAUGACUGGCCAAAUCAAUAAAGCGAGUCUCGUACUGAGUGACAGACAUACUGCCUUGCUGGAGAUGCUCGAGCUGCCUGCGAUAGUCCUCUCUCAGUAUAACUGGAAGGAACUUCUCAAGAAAUAUCUGAGAGAACUGGUACCAAGUCAAAGCAGGCGACCUAGCUGGUCUAGUCAACACAAAAUCAUUCCACCAUCUCUUGGCAGAACCUGACAGAUGAAAUACAGUAAAGUCGACCCCAUUGGUCUCCACUAUCUCCAUGUUCCGUAACACCUCAUGAUAACUUUCUAGAUAGUCCUGGGGAUCCUCUAAAGAUGUACCGCCAUAGUGAACUGGGAAAAGCUUGGUAAACCUAUCCAAUCUCCACAAAGCCUCAGAAGACAUAGCUGACCCAUCACUGGUCUAUACUGCAACACUUGUCGGAACUACCCCAAUGGGCUGAACUAUUGGAGUCUAAACUGAGGAGCCAUCUGCUCCAGAGUGUGGGUAGUAGGAGUCUGUGUUCCUCUUCCAGCCUGAGAGACGGCUGGUGCUACAGGGAAUGUGUCGGCCUGUGCCAUACUCUCCAUGAGGCCCACUAGACGGACCAAAACAUCCUGAAGUACCGGGGUAGCAAUGAACCCCUCUGGAACCUGAGCUAGCCCUAUUGGAACGGUCUGGGCUGGAGCCUCCUCAUCAAACUCUACCUGAGGCUCCGCCGCAGGUGCUGCUGCUCGAGCUCUAGGCUGAGCCCUGCCCCUGCCUCUAACACAACCUUGUCCUCGUCUUCUGCCCCUCAUAGGAGCUACCACUAGGGGAUCUGGCUACUGCUCAGCUGACAAAGCGGUACGUGUUCUCGCCAUCUGCGAAGGAACAAGAGUAGAGAGUUCAAUUAGCAUUGAGAAAUCAAAUCGCACGACAAAGAAUAAUAGAAUUGAAAUUGUUCAUAAACUCUGUAGCCUCUGGGGAUAAGCACGAACGUCUCCGUAUCGAUACCUCAGACUCUACUAAGCUUGUUCGUGAAUUGUGAGACCUAGGCAACCUAGUGCGCUGAUACCAACUUGCCACAACCUGAAAUUCCUACCAUCGGGACCGUGAUGGCGCCUAACAUCACACUUACAAGGCAAGCCAAUGUUAGAGUAUUGUUAGCCAAUUUCCUUUACGUUUCAAUGAUUAAAAUUAAACAAACUAAAACAAGUAUAAAUAAUUGCGGAAGUAAGUAAACAACCUCUUUAUUUAUAUAUUAUUACCAACAUUAUUGCUAUUACUACCCAGAAACUGGUGUCACAAUCCGCGAACACACUAUGAUUUUCUAAAAAUAUUGUUCUGAAAGAAAUUACAUCUGUUUUGGAAAUAAAUAAAACAGUAAUAUAGAGAUGUAGAAGGGGACGCCAGGGCCUGCGGACGCUAGCAGGACUACCUUGGGUCUCCAAACUGUGUAACUUGAAGCCAAUCUCUCAAUCAGCCACUACCUACUCCAAAAUCUACACAAAAAGUGCAAAGUUCAGUAUCAGUACAACCGACCCCAUGUAUUGGUAAGUGCCGAGCCUAACCUUGAUGAGGUAAUGACGAGGCUACGGCGGGGCAAUUAAAAUAUAACCUGCAUACAAUGUAUAAUAAAAGCAGAAAGAACAACGGAACAAAAUAAAGCAGUAGCUUGCAAGGAAUGAAUACAGAACUCUAGUAUCUAACAGUAGCCAGCUAUAUCCAAUCCUUAAGUCACAUGUAAAACUACAGAAUAACUUAUACAGUAGAAGAAAGAUACAUAAACACAUAAACUGAUGUGGCGCGCAUCCCAAUCCCACCAUAUAAUCAAUAUCAAUAAGAAUAUUCACCCUUAUUACUCUAUAUCAAUCCACCCUUAUUCCUCCUGUUGCAGCGUGCAACCCGAUCUUACCCUAUAAUAACAAUUCACCCUUAUUCCUCCUGUUGCAGCACACAACCCGAUCCCACCAUAUCAGUAUAAAUUACUCAAUAAGAAUAGAAAUUUCACAAUUUAACUCAAAUCUCUCCCCAAUAUUUAAACCUCAAACCAAAGCAAAUAGAAAGAUUGUACAUUAUGAAACUUCACACAAAUAAUACUACUCAGUGAAACCAAUCCAAUAUAUAUAAUAAAACACUAAUAAACCAGCUUAAGUCAAUAAUAUGAGACAAUGAAACUACGGGAUAUCUAACACCUUCAAUAUCGAAAAACAAUAUCUGACAAGUAGCAAUUUAACAUGGAAUUACCAGUAAAGCAUGUAACAGUUAAGGCAGGGAAGACAAUAUAAUAAGAACGGGAAGAAAACACGCAAUAUAGAUAAAUUAGCGGCGCAUAGGUACUCAUCACCUCACCUAUACGCCACUCACAUGGAUUUUUCACAUAGCAAUUAAGUCAAGGGUUCCUAAUCCCUCGAGUCAAAGUUAGAUACGUCACUUACCUCGAUCCACAGGUCACCCACUGCUCAAUAACCACUUUUCCUCUAGAUUCCACCUCCAAGCCACUCGUAUAUAGCCAUAAUUAACUUAAUAACAUCAAAUAUUGCUAAAGGAAUCCAUUUCAAUACAUAAAUUUAGGUUUUCCAACAUUUUCCCCAAAAAGUCAAAAAUUGAACUCAGGCCCGUUUGGUCAAAAAUCGAGGUUCUGAUCAAAAUGUAUUCACCCAUUCACCCCGAGCCCGAAUAUGUAAUUAGCUCCUAAAUCCGACCCCAAAUCGAGGUCUAAAUUUUCAAUUUGCAAAAACUCCCAAUUCUUCAAAACCCCCCUAAUUCUACCAUGAAUGAACAAGAUUUAAUACUAGAAACCUAAUGGGUGAUGUUGGAAAUCGAAGGCAAUGAGUUAAAGAGUAAAAACUUAUGAUUUGGUGUUGAAUUCCCCCUUUAAAAAUUGCCCUAGGCCGAGUUCUAAUGAAAGAGAUAUGAAAUUUUGAAGAAAUUCCCUUUUUGGUCUGUUUUAAAAUCACUGGACAGGCCUUCUUUGCGUUCGCGAAGGGCCUGUUGCGAUCACUAUACAUAGCGGCCAAAGGCCUAUGCGUUCGCUAGUCUCUCUACACGUUCGCGAAAGGCUGAUCCCCAUGGCCUUCACGUUCGCGACCCAAUGGUCGCGUUCGCGUAGAAGAACACUGACCCCUCCCCCAGGUCCCUAAGCCAUCGCGUUCAUAUCAAGCUGGUUGAAAGUACAAGAGAGGGGGGGGGGGGGGUAAAUUGUAUUUUUUUUAAAUUAAUCACUACCAGUUGACUAGUUUUCUAAUUAGUCGACUAGAUAAUAAUGCGAUAACAAUAAGGGCAGAAUUUAAGAUGCAGGAAUUAAAUGCAGGAAUUAAAGAUAGUGGAAUUUUUAUAUGGGUUCAGAUUCAAUGUGAAUCCUAGUCCAGUCCCCUUAGGUUGCAAGUGACUUCCCUUUCAGUGAAUGAGUUUCUUGAGUACAUAGUGAAAUGGUGUGAUCUAUACUGAUAGCUCAGUUUCUAUAUCACUCGUUUCUUUUGAUACAAUGCCUCACUAGUAUUGUUCUCUCUUUCUUCUCUAACUUGUUACACAUCAGGUCUAGAAGAGCUACAAUAUUUGUUUGCAGUAGAACAAAGAGAAGGUAUUUGGUUCGAUCAAAGUAUAUGUGCUAAGGUAUAUAUACAAGUUUAAAUACUUUGAGAGAGGCUUGAAUUCUGGAGUGAUUUGCCAACCCAAUAGAUUUGAUCCUUGGAAAGAGAUUGAUUCUUUCCAAGAAUAAGGUUAUUCAGCAACGACUCUGUCUUGAUGAGAGGCUUUGAUGACUUCCCUUAUGCGCGAUCCUUGAAUCUUGAUCCUUCCAGAUUUAGAUACUUGAUUAAUUAUCUUGAAAUAUCUUCGACAUUCUUGAUUGAUUUGAUUCCUUCAGUUUAGCCUUAAUUAAUUCCGUCAGUAUCAACGAUUCCUUUAAUCUCGUCUGCUUUCCUUGAUUUUUUCUGAUUGAUUCCUUCAAUCUUGUAUGCCAUCCAUGAGUUCUUUGAUCUUUGCUGAUUGAUUUCUUCAAUCUUGAAUACUAUCCAUGAGUUCGUGUACAAAGAACAAAUAUAUUAUUUUCAUCAUUAAAAUCAGAUCUAACAAUAUCUCCCUUUUUGAUGAUGACAAAAUAAUAUAUAUGUAUAAACAUCAGUUAACUUCCUUGUAUGAUACUCACCCUUAAUGAGAGCAGUAGUUGUUGAGGCACAUGUAGUCUAGUUCUUCAGGUUCUAUGACUCCCCCUCAAAAAGUGUCAAGCUGACUUACCCUUCAGUCGACUAAGUCUUGUAUCUACCUGUACAAAUACAUAUAUCCUUUCUCCCCCUUUUUGACAUCAGCAAAGAGGGAAUAAAAAAACAUAUGACAUAUGAAAAUAGGAUUUAUAACAGGAUGUGUUGGUAGAGUUAUAGCAAAACAAAAGAAGAGAAAAAAAAAAUUACCCACCGACUGAUUUUUCAGUCCAAAAACACCACAACAAAAAAAUAUUGUCUUAAACUUCCACAUUAACGACGCAGAAAAUAGGUAAGGGUAUUGUAGAUCGCCUCCUUCAGUCGAUCAAAGCUAGCAUUGGCUAAAACACUCAUUCCAUCAAGCCUAUCAUGAACCUCCUUGAAUGGUCUAACAUCAUUUUCCUGUACUCUGAGAACUGCAACUCUUAUCUUAGAGACAUCGGACCCUGUUUCUUUAGAGAUAACAUGAAUGGUACCAAUAGCCAACUGAGUGGCAAUGAGAAGAUCUUUGAUUGCAGAGAGCUGAUUGUUAAUGGCACUAAGCUUUUUAGCAAGUUCAGGGUCACUAUGGAUAGGAUGGGAAGCAGAAGAUUUUAGUUUGGAGUCUGUUUGAGCAUUCUUGACAUCUCCUUCUUGUUUCUUAACCCAUGAACCCUUCACACACAUACCCCGUACUUGCAAAAGCUUGGGAGUUGUAAGAUUUUGAAACAAAGGUAAAGAGAUAUACAAAUAUGGAAAUAUUGUGAGCUUUCAGAAUGUGAGUGAUGGCCAUACCAUAGGGUAAACUAGUGGGAUCAUUUGCACUUUCAAUCAUAAAAUUAAUGACCAAGGAGGACAUCUUGAUUUUAAGUUUGGUCUCAAGGCAAUAGACCAGAAAGGUGUCUCUUAGAGAGAAGGUGGAGAAAGAGCAAGUACGAGGAAGCAGAGUGGUUGCAACAAUGUGGGCCAGAACAUGAGUUUCGAAACUAACAUUACUAGGGCCUAACUGGUUUGGAAGAGAUUCAGAUGGACACUCAGCAAUACACUUUUUAGCUUGAUCAAAAGAAAUUUCAAAAUCAUCGGGCCAGGAAUUUUUAAAAAGAUUGGGGAAACCAUAACACUUACACUGAGAGAUUGAAUCAAACAUGGCACAAAUAAGAACAAUACGCUUUCCUAACACUAAGGACUCCAACUUAUCAGACUUACUAGAGCGAAAAUUGGCAUAAAACAUUCUCACUAGGGGUUCAUAGACUUUAGGCGGAGGAACAGAAAAGAACUUUGACCACUCUUGAUAAAUGAUGAGAUCUUUUACCUUACAAUUUAGGGCUUCCAUGUCAUCUAGGUCAACUACCCUCCCAUGAGCAAUAGACUUGUCUUUUAGGGCGAUGAAAAAGACCCUAUUUGGAAAAUCCCAGAAAUUGACGUCCGACUCUAGAGAACUAGAAAAGUCUAUUUUUGAUUUCUUUGGAGUGGAGGAAACAGGGGGUUCUUCCAUAGGUCGUUUUUCCAAAGCUUUUUCUCCUAAGGGGUGAGAAUGAUCAGAAAAAUCCGCCUGAGAAGAGGCAAGCCCCUCAGAAUGAUCGGACCCUAGGUCUACCUGUUCAGGGGGCUGAGAAAAGGGUUUUGCUCUGGCGCGAGUGCUCUUCCUAGUGGAGGCAGAGGGAUUUUUGGAUUGUUUGCCAUUGAAGAGAUUUUUGUUUGGGCAAGGCUUCGGAGAAGGGUUUUUAGGCGAUAGAGACGAUGGAUAUUGAAAAAAGGUUCAGCCUUAAAAAGAGGGUUUCUGACGGUUGAGUACAAAAAAGAAAAAGGCGUCAGUUGAUUAGACGUGAUGAUUGGCCUUCCUUAUUUGAACUCUGCGACUGAUGUGAAAAGAGAGGAAAAGAGAGGGAAAUCAGAGGCGUAAUUAAUGCUUAAGAAAGGAUAUAGAACUAGUAAUGCCAUACAAAAUAAUGGCAUAUAGGUCCUAAUAUUAACUAGUAAUGUAAAUAAUGCCAAGUAAUUCUCUUAGUGAACAAAAUCUUUCUUCUAAUAAAGGCUUGGUAAAGAUAUUCGCUAAUUGGUCAAUUGUUCCAACAAAAGAUAUUUCUAUAUUUCCCUUAAGAACAUGAUCUCUAAUAAAAUGAUGCUUGAUAUCUAUAUGCUUUGCCCUAGAAUGAUGCACAUGAUUUUUAGAAAGACAUAUAACACUAGAAUUAUCACAGAAAAUUGGUAUAGGCUUAAACGAUAGUUCAUAGUCACCAAGUUGAUGAGACAUCCAUAAUAGUUGUGCACAACAUUGUCCAAUAGUAAUGUAUUCAGCUUCACUAAUAGAUAGUGCAACUGAUGCUUUUUUUUACUGUUCCAGGAUAUCAAUGCCUUGCCAAGUAAUUGACAUGUUUCACUUGUGCUUUUUCUGUAUUCAGCUUCACUAAUAGAUAGUGCAACUGAUGCUUUUUUUUUACUGUUCCAGGAUAUCAAUGCCUUGCCAAGUAAUUGACAUGUUUCACUUGUGCUUUUUCUGUCUUCCUUAUCACCUGCAAGAUCAGCAUAUGAAAAACCUUCUAAUUUAAACAUGUUAGAGCGAGGAUACCAUAGUCCAUGAGAGACAGUUCCAAUGAGAUAUCGAAUAAUUCUUUUUACUGCAGUCAGAUAUGAUUUCUUAAGAGCUGACUGAAACCUGGCACAUUUACAAACACUAAACAUAAUAUCCGGUCGACUAGCAAUUAAAUAAAGAAGUGAGCCAAUUAUUCCACGAUACUUAGUUUCAUCAAUAGGGAUUCCUUGUUCGUCUUUAUCGAGGCUUGUUGAAGGACUCAUUGGUGUUCCAAUAGCUUUAGCACUGCUCAUGCCAAAUUUUUGGAUCAACUCCUUUGUAUAUUUGGUUUGACAUAUGAACGUUCCUUCUUCAGAUUGUUGGAUUUGAAGUCCAAGGGAAAACGUUAGUUCUCCCAUCAUGCUCAUUUCGAACUCACUCUGCAUAAGAUUUGAAAAUUCCUUGCACAUAAGAGGAUUAGCACUACCAAAUAUAAUAUCAUCAACAUAAAUCUGAAUAAUGAAAUUACCUUCUGAUGAUAUUUUAAUAAAUAGAGUAGUGUCUACUUUACCUCUUGUAAAACCAUGAUCAAUAAGAAAUGAACUGAGUCUUUUGUACCAUGCUCGUGGAGCUUGCUUCAGCCCCUACAAUGCUUUGAUUAGCUUAUAUACAUGAUAGGGAAACUUUGAAUCUACAAACCCAGGAGGUUGUUUCACGUACACUUCCUCUUCAAUGAAACCAUUCAAGAAGGCACUCUUAACAUCCAUCUGAAAUAGCCUGAAUCCCUUAAAGGAUGCAUAUGCUAGAAGAAUUCGUAUAGAUUUCAGUCGAGCUACUGGGGAAAAAGUUUUGUUGCAGUCAACUCCUUCUUGUUGUGAAUAUCCUUGAGCAACUAAUCCGGCUUUAUUUCUUACAACUUUUCCAUCAUCAUUCAAUUUAUUUCUGAAAGCCCAUUUUGUUCUAAUUACAGGAACAUUUUCAAGUUUGGGUAUCAGUUUCUAUACUUGAUUUUUAUCGAAUUGAUCUAGCUCUUCCUGCAUCACUUGCAUCCAACUUGAGUCUUUAGUUCUUCCUCUGUCUUCUUUGGCUCAAUCUGAGAAAUUAGUAGUAUGUUUGCUUUCUUUUUGAGAGCUCCCCUGGUUUUCAUUCCUUCGUUUGGAUCCGCUAUGAUGAAUAUUUUAGGACAUUCAGGUUCACUUCUCCAUUCAUUUGGAUGAACUAUAUGAGUAGUUGACUCCUUCGGAGGUUCUAGUGGAUUGUUGCUGGUUUCACUAGUUGAUUCUAUCACAACAUCAGAUCCGUCAAUCGACUUUUGUGAUUUACUUGUCUCCUGAAUUUCUUGAGCUUGAUCUUCAUCACAUGCAAUAAUUUCUUUCUCGGUCGAGGAGUUACUUUCAUCAAAUAUAACAUGUACAGAUUCUUUCACACAUAAUGUGCAUUUAUUAUAGACUCUAAAAGAUCUAAUAUUUAAUGAAUAGCCUAGAAAAAUACCUUCAUCACUUCUUGAAUCGAAUUUUCCAAGAUUGUCCUUACUGUUAUAGUGAAUGAAACACUUACUUCUAAAGGGUGAAAAUAACUAAUAUUAGGAUGUUUACCUUUCCAUAGUUCAUAGGGGGUUUUCUUCAGAAUAGGCCUUAUGAGACAUCGGUUGAGAAUGUGACAUGUUGUACUUACUCCUUCUGCCCAGAAAUAGUUUGGCAGUGAAUGAUCUAGUAACAUAGUUCUUGUCAUAUCUUGUAAGGUUCUAUUUUUCCUUUCAAUGACUCCAUUCUGUUGGGGUGAUCUUGGUGCAGAGAAAUUAUGAGUAUAUCCUUGAUCAUUACAGAAGUCUUUAAAUGCUCUGUUUUCAAAUUCUCCUCCAUGAUCACUUUGGAUUGUUGUAAUCAGAUACCCCUUUUCUCUUUCAAAUUUCUUACAGAAGAUCUCAAAAAUUUUCAACGCUUAAUCUUUAUGAGAUAAAAAAAUCACCCAAGUGAAACGUGAGUAAUCAUCAACAAUAACAAAAGCAUAUCGUUUUCCUCCUAUGCUAGCAGUUCUAGUAGGCCCAAAUAACUCUAUGUGAAGCAGUUGCAAAAGCUUAGAAGUAGAUACAAUAUCCUUGUUUUUGAAAGAGUUUCUAGUUUGUUUUCUAAUUUGACAAGCGUCAUAUAUGUGAUUUCUAGACAAAUUCAGUUUGGGUAAACCAAUAACUAACUCAUGCUUAGAGAGUUUUUCUAUCAAAUGCAUGCUUGCAUGACCAAGUUUCCUAUGCCAUAACCAGGGUUCAUCAGAUAUGGAUGUUAAACAUAUAUGACCAUCUAUAUUUUCAAAACCAUCAAGAAUGUAAACGUUUCCAUACCUUUUUCCUUGGAGGAUUAUUUUACCUGUCUCAUCUUCAAUAGCACAACCUGUUUUCUUAAAAUUUACCUCAUACCCUGAGUCACAUAGCUGACUUAUACUCAGAAGAUUGUAGUUAAGUCCAUCAACAAGAUAAACCUCAGUGAUAUUGCAGUUGUUAUGAAAGGAAUUGUUCCCGUACCGAUUAUUUUUCCUUUUGAGUCAUUGCCAAACUUAACGCUUCCUCCAUAUAUUUUUGUAACUUCUUUGAACAGGUUUUUAUGACCUGUCAUAUGGCUGGAAUGCGCACUAUCUAAGUAGUAUUUUUCUUUGUGACUUCUCCUGUGGUGUUCCUCGCUUGUUUCACCUCGUGCCAUGAAAUAGUUUUCAUCGUUAUCUUUGCAUUUGUCGUCUGAAGUGUCCUCAUCUGUCCAACAUCCUAAAAGUUUGUUCAUAUCAUUUUUUGGAAUUGUCAUGAAGCAAAUAUUUGCUAUUUCUUUAUGUUCUGAACUAUCUUCAUCACUCCAGCUUCCAAAUGAUUUGUUCUUGUUGAAACCUCUAGAGAUUUUUCUUUUUAGAUUUGGACAUUCAGCUUGAAUUUGUCCAAAUCUUCCACACUCAUAGAAUUUUCCAUUAUUCUUAUCUUGUUCGUUAUAUUGCCUAGAUCUGCCUAGGUGGAAUCCUUCCUCUUCUCGUAUUCCUGAGUCUUCUCAUUAAACCAUCCAUGUUUCUUGGCAUCAUAGCAAUUGCUUCUUGAAGGGCUUUAGGAUCAUCAUUGAUAUCAUUUUUAGCUAUUUCAGUUGUGGCCUUGAAUGCAACUGUUUUCUUCUUGGUUCGUUUUCUUAUGAUGUGUCUUUUCGAAGGCUAUGAGCUCUCCUCUAAGUUCAUCAUAAGAUAACUUAUUCAGAUCUUGUGAUUCAAGUGUGACUACUUUGGUCUGCCAAGUAGUUGGUAUGCUUCUAAGAAUCUUUCUAACUUGAUCACCACUUGAAUAUGGUUUGCCAAAAGCUUUUAGAUCGCUAAUGAUUUUACUGAAUCUGGCAAACAUCUCUUCAAUAGAUUCUCCUUCUUUCAUAUGAAAGAGUUCAUAAUCAUGAACCAACAUGUUGAUAUGUGUUUCCUUUACUUUGCUGGUUCCUUCAUAUGUAACUUCAAGCUUAUCCCACAUCUCUUUGGCUGGAUCACAACUGGAGAUUUUCUCAUACUCUUCACCACUUAUAGCAUUAUAUAGCAAAUUUCUCGCCUUAUUGCUGACUUGUACAACUACCAUUUGCUCAUAUGUAUAUGAAUCUAUAUCUUUAUGAUCAACAAGUGGUUGAGCGGUAGUUGGUAGAGGAUAGUUCCUCUUUUUGAUAACUCUCCAAAGUUUAACAUCAUACGCCUGUGCAUAUAUUUCCAUAUGCACUUUCGAGUUGGAGAAAUGUUGUCCAUUGAAGUAUGGUUACCUUACUUGCGAAGUUCCUUCUUGGAAGAGUGCUCCUAUGAUAACUUGAUUUGCCAUAACCAUUUCUCACAAGCUGUUAAACAAAAGAAAAAUGUGAUCCUUGCUUUGAUACCAAUUAAAAGAAUAACAGGGUGGGAGGGGGGGAGUGAAUUGUUUAUUUUUAAAAUGAAUCGCUACCAGUUGACUAGUUUUCUAAUUAGUCGACUAAAAAUAAUAACGAGAUAAUGGUAAGGGAAAAAUUUAAGAUGCAGAAAUUAAAUCCAGGAAUUAAAGACACUAAAAUUUUUAUACUGGUUUGGAUUCAAUGUGAAUCCUAGUCCAGUCCCCUUGGGUUGCAAGGGAGUUCCCUUUCAGUGAAUGAGUUUCUCGAGUACAUAGUGAAUGAUGUGAUCUACACUGAUAGCUCAGCUCCUAUAUCACUUGUUUCUUUUGAUACAAUGCCUCACCAGUGUUGUUCUCUCUUUCUUCUCUAACUUGCUACACAUCAGGUCUAGAAGAGCUACAUUAUUUGUUUGCAGUAGAACAAAGAGAAGGUAUUUGGUUCGAUAAAAGUAUAUGUUCUAAGGUACAGAUAAAAGUUUAAAUACUUUGAGAGAGGCUUGAAUUCUGGAGGGAUUUGCCAACCCAAGAGAUUUGAUCCUUGGAAAGAGAUUGAUUCUUUCCAAGAAUAAGGUUAUUCAACAAUAACUCUGUCUUGACGAGAGGCUUCAAUGACUUCCCUUAUGUAUGAUCCUUGAAUCUUGAUCCUUCCAGAUUUAGAUACUUGAUUGAUUAUCUUGCAAGAUCUUCAACAUUCUUCAUUGAUUUGAUUCCUUCAGUUUAGCGUUAAUUGAUUCCGUCAUAUCAACGAUUCCUUUAAUCUCGCCUGCUUUCCUUGAUUUUCUCUGAUUGAUUCCUUCAAUCUUGUAUGCCAUCCAUGAGUUCUUUGAUCUUUUCUGAUUGAUUUCUUCAAUCUUGAAUGCUAUCCAUGAGUUCCUAUACAAAGAACAAAUAUAUUAUUUUCAUCAUUAAAAUCAGAUCUAACACUGGUCGCGUACGCGGAGGGUAAGCCCCCCAUUGCUCCGCGUUCGCAAAGUGAAAAUUCCUCCCCAGCCCCAUUUCCCUUUCGCGAUUGCGAAGCACAAGGUAUCAGUACACCAGAAGUUGCAACAUAUACCAGAUUUUGUAAGUUUCAAACUACCCAUAGCCCAUCCGAAACUCACCCGAGCCCUUGGGGCUCCAAACCAAAUAUGUACACAAGUCUUAAAACAUCAUAGGAACUUGAUCGUGUGAUCAAAUAGCCAAAAUAACACAUGGAACUAUGAAUUUAGCACCAAAUUACAUGAAAUUCUCAAGAACACUUUAAAAUUCCUAUUUUCAAAACCGGACGUUUGAAUCACGUCAAAUCAUUUUCGUUUCCCACCAAAUUUCACAGAUAAGUUAUAAAUAUUAUUUUGGACCUAUACCGGCUCCGGAACCAAAAUACAAGCCCGAUACCAACAAGAUCAAACAUAAUUAAAUUCUUAAAACCAUUUAAUUUUUCAGUCUUUCAAUUUUCAUUAAAAAUUCAUUUCUCAUGCUAGGAUCUCGAAAUUCGAUUCCGGUCAUACACCCAGGUCCCAUAUUUUGAUACGGAACCGCCGGAACUGUUAAAAUACGAGUCCGAGUUCGUUUACUCAAAACAUCGACCGAAGUCAACUAAAUCAACUUUAAAGGCAAAAAUUAAUAUUUUUAUUAACUUUCAACAUAAAAGCUUUCCAGAAAUACAUUCGGACUGAGCACACAAAUUGAGGAGGGAUAAAAUAAGGUUUUGAAGGCCUUGAAACAUGGAAUCUAGUAUAAAAUAUAAGAUAACCUUUUGGGUCAUCACACAUAGCCUCGUUACUACUUUAUCGAGGUUAGACUCGACACUUACGAGUACAUGGGGUCGGUUGUGCUCAUACUACACUCUGCACUUCUUGUGCAGAUUUUGGUACCGGCCCUAGCUGAUCAUGAGGUUAGCAGUUGGACUUGCUUGUCAUAUAUCCAAGGUAGAUCUGCUGGCGUCCGCAGACCCUGGAGUCCCUUCUUAGUUUCUUUAUCUUACUGUUUCAUUCCUUUUAGAACAAUUGUAUUUUUUUCCAGACUUUAUUUGUAGUAAAUCUUAGAAGCUCGUGCAUUGUUACUCCAGAUCCAAAUUGUAUUGGAUAUUAUGGGUUUUAUGUUAUUCCGCAAUUCUAUUUUAGUUCUGUUUAGCUUAAUUGUUUCUGUUAUUAAAAUUGACUAAAGUUGGCUUUAAGAAUCCUCUAAAGUUGGCUUGCCUAGCAAGUGAAAUAUUAGGCGUCAUCACGGUCCCGAAGGUAAAAAUUUCGGGUCGUGACAUUUAGAUAUUUAUUUAUAUAAAGGAACAAUAAAAUUUAAUUAAUGAGAGAAAUUUUUAUGUAUAAUAAUACAACAAUCAUCUAAAUACCGAAAAAUAUUAUUACAUUAUCAUAAUACAAAAAUUUAAAAUAAAAGAAUAUUAUCAAAACUUGCACAAAAGAUCAAUUUUGUCAUGUUAGUUAGAUAAUUAUAUAUUAUGGUUUAAAAGUAUUUAAUGUGAUGGUAUCUUAACGAACACUUCUUUGUAGUUGGUUGCUCUGCUUUAACCAGAACUCUUGUUGUUGAUCUUGAUAUCCCUCUUGAAAGUGCAACAUACUGUUAUUCAUGCAAGAAAACAUAUUGCGGUAAAUAUAGUCCAAUAUCUAGGAUGUUUGUUCUUAUGCUUUAUUUAUUAUAUUUGUAAAACAUAAACAUACUAAAACACAAAUUUAAAAGGGUAUUCCUUAGUUUUGGAAGACGAAAGUUUAAUUCAGAGAUAAGAAUAUACUUAGAAGUACAUUAACCAGUAUCAUAAUUUUUGCAUGUAUGAUAUUAUUGUCAAAACUUCUAUAUACCAUCUAUGUGCUAUUAUUUAAGCUAUUUGGCAUAUCUAAAUUUUUCAGUAGCAUGAUAGACAUUUUUUUCUUCAAAAUUAACCGAUAUAUAAUGGAAGAUCAAUUUUAACUAAAUCUAUUAUAUAUACGGUGACAUUAACAGAGUAAUAAAUAAGAAACUUGACAACAAAUAUGUAUGGUAGAAGACCAUUUGGUAUUAAAGUAUUUAAGUAUUCUUCUUGGUAGUAAUUAUUGGUAUCAUUUUGUGUUGAGUCAAAAAUUGAAACACAUUUUACUUUUACUAUAAGUUUUGCAAUCAACUUUUUAUUUAGUUUAUCAACAUAUUUAUUUAUGCUAGCUAAGAUAUCUUUUUAAUUCAAUCAUGUGAUUUGUACAAAUUGCGUUUUAAUCUAAUGAUAGAAAUAUUUCUCUUAUUAAAUGCACUACUAUUACCAUUGGAAAUAAUUGACUGGAAAAACUAAUUUGAAGCCAGAGCAUACACAAGAUGAUAUUAAUUUAUUAUGAUUAAAUUAUAAAUUAUGGUAGUAAUAUAUAUUAAUUAAUGAUUAAAUGAUUACCUUAUGCGAAUGACAAGUGUCAUGCAGUUUUGCUUUAAUUGGUGCAUGCACUAAAUGUAAAUAAGUUUUUUCUGCAUUGUAACAAUUAAAUUUAUUAUCAUUCCUUGUAAAUUAUUUGGACUAUAUAUGAAAAAAUUAGGCAUUAAAAGCAUUGCAUUUUCCAAUCAUUCUAAAUUUGUAUUUUAAUAAUUGUAUAACUAGAAAAAACCAGUGGGUGGGUGAUGUCUAGCAGACAGAAUGUUUUGCAAUUAGCUUAGAAGGAAUGGAACAUAUUAAAGCCUUUAGGUAAUCAAUUACACUAGUUAUACAGUUCAUAAGUGUCUGAAGAUCGUCAUUAGCAUCAUAAGUAUGAAAGAAUUUCAAGUUAGGUGCGUGCUCAUCUUUUCAUUUUGGUUGGAAAAUGCUGGCAUAUCCAAAAAGAUUUUACUUUGGUUGUGUAACGACACGAUCGAUCAUUUUGAGCAUUUGUACUUCGCUCGCCAGUUCUCGGGUAUGACUAGCCCCGUAUGAUGUAUUAUGACUUAUGUAAUCGUGGGUUUUUGUUUUCAGGUUAAUCGGAACAGAUAUGGAAGAAUGAUCCUCAGCUUGAAGCUUUAAAUUUGAAAGGUCUAACUAAAUUUUUACAUUUUUAGUGUUCGAUCUCGGAUUUGAAUUUUUAUGAUUUGGUUAGCUUCGUUAGGUGAUUCUGGACUUAGGAGUGUGUUCGGAAUGUAAUUUGGAGGCUCGGGGAAGAAUUAGGCUUGAAUUGGCAAAAUUGAAAAUUUGGAGUUUCCGGUCGGUAGUGGAAAUCUUGAUAUCGGGGUCAGAAUGGAAUUCCAGAAAUUGAAGUAGGUUCGUAGUGUUAUUUGUGACAUGUGUGCAAAAUUUCAGGUAAUUCGGACGAGGUUUGAUAUGUUUCGGCAUCGAUUGCGGAAUUCGGAAGUUUGAAAAUCCGAGGGUGAUUUGGUGUUUCGAUGUUAUUUUGAGUGUUCCGAAGGUUGGUAUAGAUUUGAAAAUGAUAUAUGACUUGUUGGAAUGUUUGGUUGAGGUCCCGAGUGCCUCAGGAUGGAUUUGAGUGGUUGACGAGAAGUUUAGCUUUGAGUUGUUGCUGCAGAUUUUGCUGCUUCUGUCAUUUCCGCACCUGCGGAUUGGGGACCGCAGGUGCGAGGACGCAGAUGCAGUAAGUAGAUCGCAGGUGCGUGUUUUGUCCAUCAGGAGAAGAACCGCAGAUGCGGUUAUUUGGACGCAUCUGCGGCAUCGCAGGUGCGGUGACUAGGCGCAGGUACGGUCUCGGUCCUUUAAGUGAUUUUCGCAGUUGCUCACCUGGGACCGCAGGUGCGAGUCCGUAGGUGCGAGGUAUUGUCUGUAGGUGCAGAAUCCCUGGGGCAGAAAGUAUAUAUAAGUUCCCCUUCGCGAAAUUUGUCCCAUUCCACCAUUUUUGAAGUCGGGAUUGAAGCUUUUGGAGGGUUUUGAAGAGGGAAUCAAGGGGAAACUCGUUGAGGUAAGAUUUUUAAACUUGAUACUCGUAUCUUUGGUGAAUUUCAGUUGGUUAGACAUGGAAAUUGUAGAAAUUAGGGGUGAAAAUUGGGAAAUUAGGGCUUGGAAUUGGGGAGUUUAAUUUGAUGAGUUGAGGGACCAAACGAGGUUGGAUUUUGGUAAAUUUGGUAUGUAUGGACUUGUGAGGGGAUAAUGAUUCUAGUGUUGUAUUUUUAUCGCAUUUCGAGACGUAGGCUCGGGGGUCGGGUUUGGCCAAUUUCGGGAAUUUUGAUUUAAUUUGAUAAUUUUUGCAUGGGCUCUGUUCCUUUAGCAUGUAUUGAUGAUAUGAUUAUGAUUUUGGAUAAAUUCGGGAUGAUUUGAGGCCGAGUCGAGCAGCAAGGGCAUCACAGAGUAGAUUUUCAUCAGAUUUUAGGUAAGUAACGAUUGUAAAUCUAGAUAUGAGGGUAUGAAACCCCAAAAUUUCGUACUAUUUUGAUAAAUGAGGUGACGCAUAUGCUAGGUGACGAGCAUGUAGGCGUGCACCAGUAGGAAUUGUGACUUGGUCCGUCUCGUGGCAACUGUAAAGUUGCAUAUUUUGAUAAACUCUAUAUGAUAUCUAUGUGUUUUAGAAAUGAUUCUUUUAACUUGGGCUAAGUUCCAUUAUUGGGGCCUUGUGCCGUACUGUUUGGACCGUCAGGGGUAUUUUACUACUAUCCUCACACUGCUUUGAUUCGAAAACAUAUCCUCAAUCAUGAUUUUUACUCGUUUACUGUUUGAUUCAGUUUCAUUACUCUAUUUUUAAAUAUAUGAAAUUUAUUUGGGCUGAGUUCCCUGAUUUUUUAUAGAAAUGCCCAAGUGGCUUGUGAGGUUGAUGACUGAGGGAGGUUGAGGGCCUAAUGGUGAGGAUUAAAUAAUUAUGGAUUGGAUUAUAUAAUUAUUGAUCCUUCCUGGAGUUUGUAUGCGCGCAUGAGUGCUCGAUAUCAGCUGUGCAUCGACGGCUUGUGAUUUCCCGAACAAGGGGCGAGACGUGAUUUUUGUGUGUUGAUGUUGGGACAGUCUAGAGGACUUGAGGCCGGGCUUCGCCUAUAGCUUGAUCACUGAGGUAUUGAUUGUGUGAGCAUACUUUUGGAUUUAUAUAUUCUAUAGUGUCCCUAUUAGUACAAGUGAUGACUGGAUGGCUAUGUGAUGGGUAUGAUGUGACUGCGAGAUGUGUUCAUAUGAUUUAAAUAUGACGAGAAGGGUCUGCUUGAGGAUAGAAAGAACUAUCUGGUGCUUGAUUUCCAUCGUGAUUUGAUGUAUAGCCCCGAGUUGUGCGUGUAUUGAAGGAUCUUUUCAUGUUGUCUAGUUGGGGAGUGAGGUAGAUUUCAUGGUGUGAUAUGAGUUCAGACCAGGAAGAUUAAGUGAUUGCGUGAUAUUUAUGACAGUGGAAGGGUAUGAAGAGAUAUUAGUUUGAGACAAAGCAGGUGAGUUAUCUCCUGCGGGGUGUUCUGAGGUUUGUGUGAUCUUGUGUUGUUUAUUGGGAGCCCUCUUUUACUAGUGAAAUAUGUGUGUUGCAAUUCGAGUUUGGAUCGCUUAUGAGAGUGGGUAUGACUUUUACGAGAGUGAAUUCGAGAUUGCAGAUGAUUUGAAAUACUACAUGAUUGUGUUGUGCGAGCUUAUGAAGGAUUUAGUUUAAUCCCCCUAUAGUAUUAUGGCUAUGAUAGAGUAUGGGCAUCGCGAAUUUUGUGUGUUUUGACCUAUGGCCUUGAGCCAAGUAGGGGAGUCUGCUAUUGAUAAGUUGAUUGCGCGGCUAAGUGUCAUAUUAGUUUCAGUUUGUGGUAUACUGGCGAAUCAGCUGUGUUAUGCUUUAUGGGUAUAUGAGAAACGUUGGAUGGAUUAAUUAUUGUUGUAAGGGAUUUAACGGGUGUGGAGUAGGAGAUCACUCGACUGCUUAGAAGGAUGGGUUACUCCCAUAGGUGUUUCUAUUUUAAUGGGGCAUAGGUCAUUCAAUUCAUUUGAUCAGUCUAAUCGAAACCUGAGUAGAGUGGAUGACUCCCGAGAAUGGUUUUGAAGGAUUCAAGACUUGCAUGCAAUAAUUGGAGAUCUUUAGGAUGUGUAUUUGACUAAAAAUUGAGGUUUACAUUGGAGGGUGUCGAGACUUGUAGCAUUUCUACAUCAGUAUGGAUUCUACAUAUCAGUAUCAGGAAGGCGAAGGUAAUGGCUUUAGAUUUGCAGGAAGUCUCUUCAGUAUUUUGAAUGUGGUGCUUUUGGAGAUAUUUAAGAGAGUAUUCGGCGGCUUAUGAGCCUUAGAUGACGUGGUGUUAUGCUUGGGUCUCGUGUAGUGAGUCAAGGUUGAGGAUUGUUGUAUUAUGGCAAGGAGAAGUAUCGAACACGAAGGUAAUUCAGAAGGGACUUUGAUAAAUAGGACAACCUGCUAAUAGGUCGAAUCGGCAUGGUAAGGAAUAUGAUUAGUUCUUUGGGGUGCUUAUGAUGUAAUGAGAUUCUACAGGUGCUUUGUGGCAAUGCUCUUGGGUUUUUGAUGACUUGCGUAGCUUGGUUAAGUUAGAAGGAUUUAGUCCUGAUGGUUUGGUUUUGUGUAAAUGGGAUUUGGAGAGCUCUUGGUGGUUUCUACCACGGUUAGAGAUGUAUAUUUUCUACUGGCGUAAGGAGCAUGCGAUGUAUAGUGAUUUUAUUCUAGAUGAGAUCAAAUGGAAAGUUUUUGGCUAGUUGAGUACGUAGUUGCUUAUGGCUCGGAAUGGAUAUGAAGUUCUCAUGAUUAUCAUAGGAUGGCAUGGUAUAUGCGCUAUGUUAUGUAGGGUUGAGAUUUGCAUGUGUAAGGUCAUGAUUCAGUUUUGAAAGGGUCAUAAAUUCUUAGGCAGCAUGGGCAGUUUCAGAUGACUAGGUAAAUGACAUUACUAAUUGGUGUGGCUUGAUGAGAGUAUACAUUUCAGAAAGGGCAAUGUGUUUGAGUUAAUGGUACGUCCCUAGUAUUGCGACACUCUCUUGUUUGAUCGACGACUGAUAUUCGAGUUUGCUUGGCAGCGCAGAAGAAUUAUAGGAGUAUCCCUCAUAGAAUGAUCGAGUAUCAGAUGUGCAUUAGAUGUAUGGGCAGUGGAGUUGGGAUUGGAUAUGGUGAUUCGUGUGCUUUAUGGAUUUGGAGACUGGGAGUUCUUAUAAACAUGUUAUGUCGUGGUUGUGGACCGCGUAUAUUGGUAUUGUGUGGUGACUAUUGGGGGUUUGGAGACCCGAGUGGAUCUUUUGUUGCUUUGUAUGGUGGAUUUUGAUGUGAUAUUGGGUAUGGAUUGGUUAUCUCUGUGUCGUGCUAUUUUGGACUGUUCCGCUAAGACGGUAACGUUAGCUAUGCUCGGGGUGCCAUGGAUGGAGUGACGAGGUUCGAUAGAUUAUGUUCCCAGUAGAGUGAUUUCAUUUUUUUGAAGACCUAGCGGAUGGUUAGGAAGGGUUGUCUUUCUUAUUUGGCCUUCGUGAGGGAUGUCAGUGCAAAGACUCCUACCAUUGAUUCAAUUCCGGUGGUAAGGGAUUUUCUGGAUGUGUUUCUUGCUGCCGGAUAGGGUUAUUGACUUGAUGCUGGGAACUCAGCCAAUUUCUAUUCCACCGUAUCGUAUGGCACCGUCGGAGUUAAAGGAGUUGAAGGAGUAGCUUCAAGGACUCCUUGAUAAGUGGUUCAUUGGUAGGCCAAUAUGGAUGUGUGUUCUGCAUCGAGUUGGCUUUGUUGUCUCCGAAUUUCUAUUGUUGAGGGAUGUGCCGUUCGAUUGUCAUUGAGCUUAUUCGUGUUCUGAGUGAUCUAUGAGUUACCUUUCCGUGUUUCAAGAGUUGUGAUUCGUUGAGUUUAUGCACACAUGAUAUGGUUCUAUUUGGGCUUUAUAGCUGAGUUUGAGUGAGAUGGGUAAUUGGGUGUUGCAUGAUUUAUUGCGCAUUGGAUAUGCUCUUUCUGGCUGGUAUGGCAUUGCGUCAUUUGCUUCUCCGUGGUUAUGGUGAUUCACUUUUGGUACUAGACAUCAAAUUGCACAUGUUUGUUGAUUUUGAGCAUGGUGACUUGAGGUGUCUCGUGUGGGCCAGUGUUUGGAUAGGGUCGCGCAUUGAAGCGAAGUUAUGUGGAGGUAUGAUCCUCCGGGUUAGAUUCGUGUGUUCUGGUUCUAUGGUGUGUGAUGAGUUCUUAGCAUCGUGUUGUGGUGGCAUUGGUGAGCUUGCGGUACAGCUCUCUCAUUUGAGUCACUUUCCAUGAUUUGAGUACAUUUAGACUGUUGCUUAUUGGUGCACGGGUUGUGGCUUGAGAUUGUAUCGAUAUGUCAUGUCACUAGAGUAGUCGUGUUGGAUGAGAUGAGGUCAGUGGGAUCUAAAAUGAAUGCUAUCGGAUUCGAUUUUAGCAUGUUGGAAGGAUAAUAUCGAUGUUCGACUUAGAAAUUUACUAUGGUCCUUGCCGAAGGAGAGGGAGCUUCAUGAAUGGUUGAUCCGAGGAAUAGUUAUGACUUUCUGCAUGUUUCAUUCAUCACUGGUAGUAUAAGAAAGUGUUGGAAUGAGGCAUUAUUUGAUAAGAGGGUUAUUAUCGGUAUUUGGUUAUUUUGAGCAGCUACUGUGAUUAGAAGUUAUCGCUACGAGUGUUUGAGGUAUGUGGUACAUCAUGUAAUUACAUCUAGGGUUAUAGAUAUUGUUUGUUAUAGUUUGUUCAAACUUAUUUAGAGUAUAGAUGUGAGGUUCUGAUCUUAUAGAUGAUUUCGGAAGCAGAAAUUUGGUUCUAAGGUUAAUGAGCUAGGUUGGAUUGUGAAAUUUCAGUUAUGUUGUGCUAUCGGGCCUAUAUGAGGUAGGGUGACGUGGGAUCACCCCUCAGGUAUGUGCAUGGUAAGGUUAUGCAGUGAUUUGAUGGCUUUUAGAACAACUUUAGGCACAUUUGAGGACGAACGUAUGUUUAUGGGGGAGGAUGUAACGACACGAUCGGUCGUUUUGAGCAUUUGCACUUCGUUCCUAGUUCUCGGGCAUGACUAGACCCGUAUGAUGUAUUAUGACUUACGUAAUCGCCGGUUUUGGUUUUCAAGUUAAUCGGAACAGAAAUGGAAGAAUGAUCCUCAGCUUGAAGCUUUAAAUUUGAAAGGUUUGACCAAGUUUUGACAUUUUUAGUGUUCGAUCUUGGAUUUGGAUUUUUAUGAUUUGGUUAGCUUCGUUAGGUGAUUCUGGACUUAGGAGUGUGUUUUGAAUGCAAUUUGGAGGCUCGGGGUAGAAUUAGACUUGAAUUGGCGAAAUUGGAAAUUUGGAGUUUCCGGUUGGUAGUGGAAAUCUUGAUAUCGGGGUCGGAAUAGAAUUCCGAAAAUUGGAGUAGGUGUGUAGUGUCAUUUGUGACGUGUGUGCAAAAUUUUAGGUCAUUCGGAUGAGGUUUGAUAGGUUUCAGCAUCAUUUGCAGAAUUUGGAAGUUUGGAAAUCCUUAGGCUUGAAUUCGAGGGUGAUUUGGUGUUUCGAUGUUGUUUUGAGUGUUCCGAAGGUUGGUAUAGAUUUGACUGAUGAUAUAUGACUUGUUGGUAUAUUUGGUUGAGGUCCCGAGGGCCUCGGGAUAGAUUUGAGUGGUUGACAGGAAGUUUGGCUUUGAGUUGUUGCUGCAGAUUUUGCUGCUUCUAUCAUUUCCGCACCUGCGGAUUGGGGACCGCAGGUGCGAGGACACAGAUGCGGUAAGUAGAUCGUAGGUGCGUGUUUUGGCCAUCAGGAGAAGAACCGCAGAUGUAGUUAUUUGGACGCAUCUGCGGCAUCGCAGGUGCGGUGACUGGGCGCAGGUGCGAUCCCGGUCCUUUAAGUGAUUUUCGCAGGUGCGCACCUGGGACCGCAGGUGCGAGUCCGUAGGUGCGAGGUAUUGUCUGCGGGUGCAGAAUCAUUGGGGCAGAAAGUAUAUAUAAGUUCCCUUUCGCGAAAUUUGGCCCAUUCCACCAUUAUUGAAGUCGGGAUUGAAGCUUUUGGAGGGUUUUGAAGAUGGAAUCAAGGGGAAACUCGUUGAGGUAAGAUUUUUGAACUUGAUACUCGUAUCUUUGGUGAAUUUCAGUUGAUUAGGCAUGGAAAUUGUAGAAAUUAGGGGUGAAAAUUGGGAAAUUAGGGCUUGGAAUUGGAGAGUUUAAUUUGAUGAGUUGAGGGACCAAACGAGGUCGGAUUUUGGUAAAUUUGGUAUGUAUGGACUCGUGAGGGGAUAAGGAUUCUAGUGUUGUAUUUUUAUCGCAUUUCGAGACGGGGGCUCGGGGGUCGGGUUUGGUCAAUUUCGGGAAUUUUGAUUUAAUUUGAUAAUUUUCGCAUGGGCUCUGUUCCUUUAGCAUGUAUUGAUGAUAUGAUUCUAAUUUUGGAUAGAUUCGGGGCGAUUUAAGGCUGAGUCGAGCGGCAAUGGCAUCACGGAGUAGAUUUUUGUCUUGUUUGAGGUAUGUAACGAUUGUAAAUAUAAACCCGAGGGUAUGAAAUCCCGGAAUUUCGUACUAUUUUGAUAAAUGAGGUGACACACAUGCUAGGUGACGGGCGUGUGGGCAUGCACCAGUAGGGAUUGUGACUUGGUCUGUCCCGUGGCAACUGUAAAGUUGCAUAUUUUGAUAAACUCUAUAUGAUAUCUAUGUGUUUUAGAAAUGAUUCUGUUAACUUGGGGCUGAAUGCCAUGUUUGGGGCCUUUUGCCGUACUGUUUGGACCCUCAGGAGUAUUUUACUACUACCCUCACACUGUUGUGAUUCGAAAGCAUAUCCUCAGUCAUGAUUUUUACCUGUUUACUGUUUGAUUCAGUUUCAUUACUCUAUUUUUAAAUAUAUGAAAGUUGUUUGGGCUGAGUUCCCUAAUUUUUCACUGAAAUGCCCAAGUGGUUUGUGAGGUUGAUGACCGAGAGAGGCCGAGGGCCUGAUGGUGAGGAUUAUAUAAUUAUGGAUCAGGAUACACGCCGCAACGAUAUUUGGAUCGGGCUGUACACCGCAAUGAUAUUGGGUGGGGCUGCACGCCGCAGCGAUAUAGCGCUUGGGCUGUAGGAGCCCCUCCGGAGUCUCACACCCCCAGUGAGCGCGGUCGACUAUAUGUUUAUAGAUCGAGCUGCAUGCCACAGUGGUUAUUAUAAGGUACCUAUUGAGCGUGAGUGUUGAUUGAUGAGAGUUGAGUCACAAAUGACUGAGAGGCUUGCCCGAGGGGCUAUAUAUAUAUGAGUGAUACUUUGCCCGAGGGGCUUAUUUUUAUGAAAUUACUAUUUUCGCUCUUCUUUUAUACUGAGCCUCUAUGGAAAAUGUUGAACAAAUGCUUUAUGCAACUUUCAUUGAAACUGAAUUUUUUACGAAAUGUUCGGAAUUUAAUUAUUGAUUUAAAUCUUUUUUAUUUCCACUGAAGUUUUUUAUGUGAUGAGAUGUAUGUGAUUUUUAAUGCUCGUCACUGAGUUGGUGUACUUAUGUUACUCCGUGCACCUUGUGUGCAGAUCCAGGUGCCAAGGCAUCUGAGUGAGUGCUGAUUCUUCUUCAGGUUAUCCCGGAGCUUAACAAGGUAGCUGCACGGCGACCGCAACCUUGCUUUUCUCCCUCCUAUCUUAUAAUUGUCCAGUUUUUAUUAGACUCCUUUUGUCAUCUGAGUAGACAUUAUUAGACUUGUAUUUUAGUUGCUCAUGACUAGUGACACCGAGGUCGGGCCGUUUAUCUUCAGGGAUGCUUAUUUUCAC
rnacentral:lncRNA from 1 species